AUUGUGGCUCAGUGGUAGAGCACGUGCCCACCAUGCGUGAGACACUGGGUUCAAUCCUCAGCAUGAUA
rnacentral:tRNA from 1 species